CUUCUUGAUUGAAUGAUUUGGCAAGAAAAAAAAAUGCGGCAUUUUAUUAUUGUUAUUUUGUAGGGUGAGGUUAGAGAUAUCGUAAAAGCCGUAAACAGAGGAAAUGAACGGCAGAGUAGUCACAUCACUCUGUUUCAAUAUAAUAAAAUUAGGGUUUUGAGACUCAAAGCUAACAGAGAAUGAGAGAUAGAGAGAGGAUGAGAAAUAGGGAAAGAAUGAGAUCUGGGGAUGAUUUCUUGUUAGAGAUGUUUUCAGAUCUGCGAAUCAGAAAGUUGAGAAAGUGAAUGGCAUUGAUAUUGUUACUGAAAUCGGCUUUGCAGAGGUUACAAGGAGAACGGAUUAUUGUUAAUUGAUGACACACAUCAGGAUUCCAGGUGACUGUCAACAUAUUUGCUGAGGUAAUUUCAUUCUAAUUGUAUUAACUUUUGUGUGUUGAAAUAUGUUUGGAUUUCUAUACAUGUUGUUUUGUUUGUAAUGAUAAAAAGUGUUUAAUAUAGAGACGGCAAGUGAUAGAAAAAA